UACGUAGGGGGCUAGCGUUGUCCGGAUUUAUUGGGCGUAAAGAGCGUGUAGGCGGCCAGGUAGGUCUGGUGUGAAAACUCGAGGCUUAACCUCGAGAUGUCAUCGGAAACCAUUUGGCUAGAGUACGGAAGAGGCGAGUGGAAUUCCCGGUGUAGCGGUGAAAUGCGCAGAUAUCGGGAGGAACACCAAUUGCGAAGGCAGCUCGCUGGGACGUUACUGACGCUGAGACGCGAAAGCGUGGGGAGCAAACAGG
rnacentral:rRNA from 1 species